GUUAAAUACGUUAGUACGUCUGCAGAGCUGCUCGUUGAUGGACAUGAAUCGCAACUCACCUCUCCCUUUGUUUUUCGAGCGGCGGAUUGGACCAUUGCAUGGACGUUAAGGCUGCCAACUAAACAUAACUACUUUUUGCUCUAUCUUAGGAUCUGUGGUAUCCAUGAGUUUCCCGUCCCCCAACACGUGGUUGAAAUGAAAUAAUCAUCUUAGCUCAGGACUCCAUAGACUAAUAACUGGAAGACUCUGAGGAGGAGAUGGGCCAAUGCACUGAAAGACUAAAGCGCCAGAUGAUAAAAACAUUUCAAUCUCAUUCUGAUUCUCUAACUAAUGAACAUUUUAUUGAUUUCUACAGAUAUGGGAAAACAAUGAAGAAGAAUAUUUUCAUUACUGUCAUUGUAGUUGGCACGGCAGUGGUUUUCAAGCCCCGUUCUUACUUGAGCAAUGCCCAGAUUAAUAGCCUAAACCUGACAAAUUGUCAUCAUAUUCCAGAUUGAUGAAACGGAGAGAAUGAUGAAAAAAUCACCCUUCCAUCCCACAGUGACAGCCUAAUUUGAGCUAGCUCGAGUGCAUGCCGAAGUCAACCUGAUGCAGCCAGCAACGGAAGAAGAACCAAAAUGAUUGAACAAACCUAAACAACAAUUACAUUCGAAGGUCAGACCUUGAAUUUGGUGACGAAACUGCUGCAUCUUCGACGGCGCCGUCACUCCGACUUUUAUGGAAAUUGUUACGGCUUCUGCUGUCGUUGUUUCGACAAUCGCUGUAAUUACAACUGCUGGCACUGGAACGUGCAAUUGAAGGCCUUUCGAUGAGCUAAGGUAACAGUAACAGUCAGGGUGUCUUGAAUAAUUGAUUUCAGUUGCUUAAGAAGGAAAUACUGCUCAAACGUGCCUUGCUCUCAGUACUGCCAUUGCCUUCACCAGUUCGACAAGCUCCUGUUGCAUGCAGUUUCUAGCCGAAAAUUGUCUUGAAGAAAGUUGUCCAUUCCAAUUCGAUUGUUUCAUGAUAAUGAAGGAGGAGAACAACUCUCGUAACGAUGUUGGUCCUUGUCUCGGAUUAGUUUAUUUUUUGCCCAGUAGAUCAAAGGAGAAAUCGACCUCGUACAAAUUUUUUGACUUGUGUUGCCAGUAGUCACGUUCCUAGUCAUAUCAUGGAACCAACAUUUUUAUCCGAUUUGCGUUUCCUCGUACAUGCAGUUUUAAACUUAAACUUAUA